AAAGACUUAUGCAUGAUUUUGCCUCAAAAUGUUGCUACAUUGACAUAAUUAAUUAAAGUACAUAGAAGAGUUUAUCAAUUUUGUGGCAGUAGUUAAGCCUGCUUGUGGAUAUACAGGCGGUGGAUCAAAUAUGAAUUCUUGAUUCAAGAAUUCAUAUUUGUUCCAUCGACUGUAAAUGCUCAAGUGGCCUUAAAAUUCUGCCACAGGGAAGAAGAAAGAAAGAAAGAAGAACAAAAAAAAAUAGAAUCCUUCAAGCCGCAUUAUUACCAAGUGAUAUUUUCUAGUUUAUUGACAGAUAAUUUCACUAGAUAAAUCAGUAGGCAAGAAAGGCUACAUGUUGAGUUCCAGGGAGCUUUCAAUUUCUUGGGCUAGUAAUCCUCUCAAUAGGUCCUGGGAACCCAACCUCCAGUCAAGAAGUAGCUGAACACAGAACCAUUUUUUGGCUCCAAUCAAUGGAAGGUUCAAUGACCAGAUGCUAUCUCCAAGAACUGAUUAUGGAGUCUCUCAUUUUCAAAUUUGCUCAUUCACUAACGAUGGAAGAGAAAGCUGGGAAGUGAAGAUGGGCUUCAACGAGGUGGCUGGUGGGCACUUGAAAGAUCAGGCCCAAGGAGUGAAUUUUUAUUCGAACUUUUGAGGAGUGGUAGAUUUAUAAUCAAUGGGAAAUUUUAGGGGUAUAGUUGGAAAUACAAGACUAUUAAACCCUAACCCUAGCUAGCCACUAUUUGCCCCUUUAUAAAACUCCGUCCCCUAAUUCCUUCAUCUUGGUCUCCUUGCACGCCUUUUCUGCAACGAUUCUCUUUAUCUAUCUAUCUAUCUCAUGUAUUUCAAUUCAGUUUUUUUUUUUCUUCUAUUUGUGUAAAAAAUUUGUGUGGUUGAAUCCUUUUCCUUUUUUUGCAAGGAUGAUAAAUGUUUUAAUCCCAGCUCAUUAUGAGACCUCUUUCAAGGUCUGGGAAUUGAAUUUAUCCAACAUUGAUCUGAGCUUUUUCUUUCUCUUUCUCUUGUGUUACCAUUGUUGGUUUAUUCUUUGUUGAUUUAUUUCAGAUAUUUGGUUUGGUUUGAAUAGAUCUGGUGAUGGGUAAGGUCCAUAUUUCUGAAUUUCAGGAUCAGUACUAAUUUCAGAACUGUUUAUCGAUGAAAUACAUUUUGUCUUUUUGGUUA